rnacentral:rRNA from 1 species
UAAGCACUUUAUACUGUGAAACUGCGAAUGGCUCAUUAAAUCAGUUAUCGUUUAUUUGAUAGUACCUUACUACAUGGAUACCUGUGGUAAUUCUAGAGCUAAUACAUGCUAAAAACCUCGACUUCGGAAGGGGUGUAUUUAUUAGAUAAAAAACCAAUGCCCUUCGGGGCUCCUUGGUGAUUCAUAAUAACUUAACGAAUCGCAUGGCCUUGCGCCGGCGAUGGUUCAUUCAAAUUUCUGCCCUAUCAACUUUCGAUGGUAGGAUAGUGGCCUACCAUGGUGGCAACGGGUAACGGGGAAUUAGGGUUCGAUUCCGGAGAGGGAGCCUGAGAAACGGCUACCACAUCCAAGGAAGGCAGCAGGCGCGCAAAUUACCCAAUCCCGACACGGGGAGGUAGUGACAAUAAAUACUGAUACGGGGCUCUUUUGGGUCUCGUAAUUGGAAUGAGUACAAUCUAAAUCCCUUAACGAGGAACAAUUGGAGGGCAAGUCUGGUGCCAGCAGCCGCGGUAAUUCCAGCUCCAAUAGCGUAUAUUAAAGUUGUUGCAGUUAAAAAGCUCGUAGUUGAACCUUGGGUCUGGCUGGCCGGUCCGCCUCACCGCGAGUACUGGUCCGGCUGGACCUUUCCUUCUGGGGAACCUCAUGGCCUUCACUG